rnacentral:rRNA from 1 species
CCUACGGGUGGCAGCAGUGAGGAAUAUUGGUCAAUGGGCGGAAGCCUGAACCAGCCAAGUAGCGUGCAGGAUGACGGCCCUACGGGUUGUAAACUGCUUUUAUACGGGAAUAACGCGCCUUACGUGUAGGGCUUUGCAUGUACCGGAUGAAUAAGGACCGGCUAAUUCCGUGCCAGCAGCCGCGGUAAUACGGAAGGUCCGGGCGUUAUCCGGAUUUAUUGGGUUUAAAGGGAGCGUAGGCCGCAGGGCAAGCGUGCCGUGAAAUGUCCGGGCUCAACCCGGGCCUUGCAGCGCGAACUGGCGAGCUUGAGUCCGCGGAAAGCAGGCGGAAUUCGUGGUGUAGCGGUGAAAUGCUUAGAUAUGACGAAGAACCCCGAUUGCGAAGGCAGCUUGCUGCAGCGGAACUGACGCUGAUGCUCGAAAGCGCGGGUAUCGAACAGGAUUAGAUAUCCUUGUAGUC